GACGAACGCUGGCGGCGUGCUUAACACAUGCAAGUCGAACGGAAAGGCUCCAGCUUGCUGGCGUACUCGAGUGGCGAACGGGUGAGUAACACGUGGGUAAUCUGCCCUGCACUCUGGGAUAAGCCUGGGAAACUGGGUCUAAUACUGGAUAUGACCUAUCUCCUUAUGGGGUUUGGUGGAAAGUUUUUCGGUGUAGGAUGAGCCCGCGGCCUAUCAGCUUGUUGGUGGGGUGAUGGCCUACCAAGGCGACGACGGGUAGCCGGCCUGAGAGGGUGAUCGGCCACAUUGGGACUGAGAUACGGCCCAGACUCCUACGGGAGGCAGCAGUGGGGAAUAUUGCACAAUGGGCGGAAGCCUGAUGCAGCGACGCCGCGUGAGGGAUGACGGCCUUCGGGUUGUAAACCUCUUUCAGCAGGGACGAAGCGUAAGUGACGGUACCUGCAGAAGAAGCACCGGCUAACUAUGUG
rnacentral:rRNA from 1 species